CGACGCCGCGUGCGGGAUGAAGGCCUUCGGGUUGUAAACCGCUUUCAGCAGGGAAGAAGCGAAAGUGACGGUACCUGCAGAAGAAGCACCGGCUAACUAUGUGCCAGCAGCCGCGGUAAUACAUAGGGUGCAAGCGUUGUCCGGAAUUAUUGGGCGUAAAGAGCUCGUAGGUGGUUCGUCACGUCGGAUGUGAAACUCUGGGGCUUAACCCCAGACCUGCAUUCGAUACGGGCGAGCUUGAGUAUGGUAGGGGAGUCUGGAAUUCCUGGUGUAGCGGUGGAAUGCGCAGAUAUCAGGAGGAACACCAAUGGCGAAGGCAGGACUCUGGGCCAUUACUGACACUGAGGAGCGAAAGCGUGGGGAGCGAACAGGAUUAGAUACCCUGGUAGUCCACGCCGUAAACCGGGGGCNCUNAUUNUGGGGGACCUUUCNAGGGUUUUUGGGACGCANUUUAACNCUUUAAGUGCCCCCCUNGGGGAGUCCAA
rnacentral:rRNA from 1 species